CUGGCUUCUCGACUUUUUGGCUAAGAUCAAGUGUAGUAUCUGUUCUUAUCAGUUUAAUAUCUCAUUAAAGGUACAUAAUAAUU
rnacentral:snRNA from 1 species